AACUUUAAGGGAAUUGACGGAAGGGCACCACCAGGGGGGAGCCUGCGGCUUAAUUUGACUCAACACGGGGAAAACUCACCAGA
rnacentral:rRNA from 1 species